rnacentral:lncRNA from 1 species
CAACAUGGUACACACACAUCUAUACAAGCAAAACAUCCAUGCACACGAACCUUUUAAAACACUGAGUAACGGAAUAAAGCAAUGGGGAAAUUUAGUGAGUAUGCACAAAGGCAGGAGAUGGCAAAGGCACCAGAGUCCCUUCCGGUUACCGAGAGUGCUUUAAUAGGCACCGUAAGAACAGCCUUCAUUCUUGGCCGCUUAGUGUGUGCUGUGCUGGAGUUCAGUCACUGCUCUCUGCCACAGGAAGGGGAGCUGGGCAGAGAACCAGGAGGGAAAGUGGGCUGUUCUCCAUGCAGGUCCUACCUUAAUCAUCCUUGUUUGGUGUUGGGAGUCUUUGCCAGUGUUACCCCUGCUGGGUAGAUUAAUGUUUAAUUCAAGAACAACUGUGAGACUUCUUUAGUCGCCUGUUGGACGAGUCUGUUAGCAUUUUAGUUACAAGCUCAUGACUUACUUUUCCUUGCCUCAGUCAAAAAGCCAGUGUACUCUUGAGUCAUCCCUCCUGUCUGAUACUUAGGGUUUCACUGCUCCCCUCCCUGGGCCUCACAGCCUUCUGUCUUCCUCCUGUCUUCUGUAGCCAGCGCCCGCUUAACCUUAAACUCCCUUAGGACUGAUCUUUUUUCUUCUCUUUGCCACCUACAUCCUACUAACUUGGCCUUGGAGAAACUCGGUCAGUAUGAACCUUCCCUCUAAUUAGCUUUCCUUCUUGGCGGAACCCAUGCCAUGAAAGAUGGUGUUCUCCUGCCAUCUACUGGGGCAAAGGAAAACUGCAGUUGAGAAACAAGCUGUCCAUUUAGGGUGGUUUGUCUAAAGGAUUUCUCAUACAGUCCAUAACUCAAAAUAAACGAUGACACAGCAGUUGCCAUCUUGAAAUGUACCCUUCCCUAUAGAAAGAGUUCUUUGACUCCUACUAUGUCCCUGGACCCAGGCUGAGUCAUGUAUUUCAUAAUCUUUAUUCUAUUUUUGAAGACUGUGCUGUCAAUAGAUCACUGAGGCGGGAAUCAUUUCGUUAAAGUCUUAGCUGUUCCAAAUGCUGUCAGGAGGAUUUGACAUGUAAACAUUAAUUGAUACAUUGUUCUAACUUUUUAAAAUAUUUAACAGAUUGUAAUACAGGAGCCUUGGCAAUUGGUAUUAUACUGGAAUCUUAUAAAUCAUUGGCUCUCUUGCACGGACCAGUGUAGCUGUGUGCCUUCUGGAAGGUGGUUUACUCUGAAAUGCUACUAUCAAUAAAUGCUUGCCAGGAAAAC